AGUAUCAUGUACUUGGGUGAUAAACCUGUUUCAUAUUAUUAGUUUACUUAGAAUAAAAAAAGUGAAUACGGUUGUCCCCUAUCUUAAUUAAUUUCACCUUAUAAAUGAUACUCCUUGUAUUAGCUGCUGUUGCUGUGAAUGGCUUGCAACCAUGAAACAUUAUUUGCCAUUAAAUUGUCUCCCAUGCCAUGAAGUACUCGUUCUCACCCUCCCACUUGUGAUCUUAUUUUGAUAAUUUACUCUAGGCACAUUCUUGUUUCUAUUAGGUCCUCAUUUUAUUACAAGGCUACUUAAUGGGUAGCACCACUGAAGGUUCUGCAUUUCAGGUCACAGCCAAUCCAUGGGAUCUUUCUAGGGUGCCAGGAGGAUCAUCAGGAGGAUCGGCAGCUGCAGUUUCUGCCAAGCAGUGUGUGGUAUCACUGGAAAGUGAUACUGGUGAAAGCCUGAAGUUAUCAAAGGUAUUGGCAUAAUUUGUUUAUAAGAUGGGCAAUUGCUGAAAUCAUUGCAAGUGUUUAUUUAUGUACAUCUUGUUAUUAAAUCAUUUAACAGUCACUUUUUAUUCUUGUGUUGAUAUAUUCAUUCUUUCAUCCAUAUUUGUUCUCUAUUUUCAUCAAAAUUUUCUAUAUCUUCUUGAUUUAGAUUAUGCUCAGGUUAAUUUGAUAUAGAUUUUGUUUAUAUAUUCUAUAAUUCAAGUUAAUUGUUGCUGUAUAGAGUUAAAGGAUUUGAAGGUACCACUAUUGUGUGUUUGGGUUGGUCUGAUGGAUCGGAACAUUAAGUUCGUAUAUAAUUUCUCUUUUUUUUUUUAGUGUCUUCUUGCGUUUGUGAAUUGUGACAUGGGGAGCCCCAUUGUGGCUCAUGUCCUUAUGUUGUUUGAUAAAAUGCCUCAACGAAGUGAUACAUUUGUACUAGAUGGACCUUCUCUGUGUAAAGCUAAAAUUUAAUUAUUUUUUCCAUUUCAAGGUUGAGAAUUGUUCCGUAUAGCUGCUUGGUUGGUUGUUUAUUGCACACUACCUAACAAUAUUAGAGCUCCAACAAUUUAAUUAUACCUUCUUAUUUUGCUAAUUUUUUUGUACCCAAUAAUUGCUUUGCUUCAUCGAUGGUAUUAAGGAACCUACAACAUUGGCAGCAGAUGAGUCUUCUAAGCAUAAAGCAAUGUUAGAAAUUUUUGAGUCCACUAUUAUUCAGGUAUCUUCAUUCUAUUUACCAAGGAUAUAGUUGAAAUUAUUGACUUAUAUAUAUAAAUAUCUCGAUUGCUCAACUUUCAAUUCCACACUUCUUAUUACAAACUGCUUUAGUAUUUGAGCAUCAUGUUUCUUUAUAAAAAAUGCUUAGUCAUCCAAAUUAAUGGCAUAAAAUAUUUCAAAAUUGACGAGGAGCAAGUAAUUGAUGGACUUGAUAAAGCUGUGAUGAACAUGAAGAAAGGGGAAGUUGCAUUGGUGACCAUACAUCCUGAGUAUGCUUUUGGCUCAUCUGGGUCAACUCAGGAAUUGGCCACCGUUCUUCCCAACUCCAACGUGUACUAUGAAGUUGAGCUGGUUUCCUUUGUAAAGGAAAAGGAAUGUGGGAUCUGAAUACACCAGAGAAUAUAGAGGCAGCUGGAAAGAAGAAGGAAGAAGGGAAUACAUUGUUCAAGGCUGGCAAAUAUGAAAGAGCAUCAAAGAUAUAUGAAAAGGAGGCAAACCAAAAAUCUAAGCAGCCCCUCGCUCCUUUGGACAUGUUGGGCUUUUCCCACGUGUAGCCGUCUUGAUCCCAAUAUUAUAUUCUAAAGAGUACAAAAUCAAAAGUCAGACACGAUGAACGGCCAUCAUGUUGGUGCUAAUUGCUGAAUGGAUCCGAAUAAUAAUAAUUGAAAAUAAUAAUCAUAAUAUAGACGAGAUUAUUGGUUGUAUCAAAUGCAUCUUAAUCUAUAACUAUUAUUGCAUAUGAAAACAAAAAAAAAAAUAAAAAAAAACUAG